GGUUAAACAAGUAGCCAACCAGACAUGGAUGCAUGGUAGUGGCACUCAAUGAAAACAUCCAUUGAGACAUGGAGGGGAUAAGGGAACACAUAAGUAAAGGGAACAGACAACAUGUUGUGUAAAAUUAAUCAGACAUGGUUAAAAACAAGGGUUUAGCUCUUACUGUACCAAACCCCAAAUUUAAUUAACCUCAGAUAGAGGUUGCAGGGGUGUUAAGUAGCCAAACAGUGGUGCACAUGGAAGAAGACCAUGCAUAGUGACAUGGAAAAGGGAAUAGGGGAAAAUAUGCUAAGUUACACUAGUAGACUAGUAAGUAAUAUGCUAGUGACAAAGAUAGCAACAAAACCA
rnacentral:lncRNA from 1 species